GAUCCUGGCUCAGGAUGAACGCUGGCGGCGUGCCUAACACAUGCAAGUCGAGCGAAGCACUUUGCUUAGAUUCUUCGGAUGAAGAGGAUUGUGACUUAGCGGCGGACGGGCGAGUAACGCGUGGGUAACCUGCCUCAUACAGGGGGAUAACAGUUAGAAAUGACUGCUAAUACCGCAUAAGACCACAGCACCGCAUGGUGAGGGGGUAAAAACUCCGGUGGUAUGAGAUGGACCCGCG
rnacentral:rRNA from 1 species